ACUCAAAUGAAUUGACGGGGACCCGCACAACUGGUGGAGCGUGUGGUUUAAUUCGAGACGAAGCGAAAAACCUUACCAGGGUUUGACAUGCUACCGUUUUAUACCUUUGGAAACAUUGGUAGAUCCGCAAGGAUGGUAGCACAGGUGCUGCAUGGCUGUCGUCAGCUCGUGCCGUGAGGUGUUCCCUUAAGUGGGGAAACGAGCGCAACCCUCGCCUAAUGUUAUAUAUUCAUUAGGGACAGCCCCGAUCAUAUCGGGGAGGAAGGGGAGGUAGAUGUCAAGUCAGCAUGGCCCUUAUACCCUGGGUUACACACACCCUACAAUGGCGAAGAACAAAGAGCUGCAAGCUAGUAAUAGCAAGCUAAUCUCAGAAAUUUCGCCUCAGUUCAGAUUGAGGGCUGCAACCCGCCCUCAUGAAGUCGGAAUCAGUAGUAAUCGCAGAUCAGAAGGCUGCGGUGAAUACGUUCUCGGGUCUUGCACACACCGCCCGU
rnacentral:rRNA from 1 species